rnacentral:pre_miRNA from 1 species
AGAAUAUAAGAACCCGUUUUUUAAUUUUUAACUAAAAAAACUAAGAACCGGUUCUUAAAUAAGAGUUUUAAGAAUCAGUUCUUAACUUUUUUAGUUAAAAAUUAAGAUACGGAUUUUUAUGUUUU